UGUGUUUCUUUAUUGCAAUUGACAACUUUUCAAAACUAUGUGGCAUCUAAUGUCACAUGGAUAUGAUCCCAAUGUUGUAUUUAGGUGUGUUAGUAUGAAAUAGUGGACAGAUGGAUACAUGAAAUGAAGUUUAAAUGGGAUUGUUAUUGAAAAUGGAUAAAUCUUAGCGCAGAGAUAAUUCUGAAAUCUGAUUCUUCAUUCUUUGCAGGAAUCUAUUGUAUGGUGGCUAUUUCUGCUCCAUUUAAACAUGAAUUGGUACAUUUUGGAAUUAUAAGGCAGUUGGUUUAACUUUUAAUGGACAAAUUAUUGGAAAUCAUUGCAAGCAAGAUAAAUUGGCGCAGUCAGUGUAAGUUGAUGAAGGGAGUGUUGUGUCAGGCUAUCUUUUGGCCCGCUUGCCUCCUGCAGAUGCUGGUUUAAAUCUAAGUUACACCAGCAUUUUGGGUCUAGCAUCGUUUGUUGUUUCCCGCAAGGAUCCCAUCACGAGUUACGUCUAUUCCCAUCCACCUUUCCACAGAGACCAUUCUCUCCAUGAUUCACUGAUCCACUUAAUCCAUCCCCUCACAUACCUUUGUAUUCCCUCAAACUUUUCCCUGCAACCAUCGCUGGCCUAACACUUGUCCCUACACCUUCCUCGUCACCAUCCAAGGAUCUAAGCAACUCUUCCAGGUGAGACAGAGAUACACGUACACCUCCUCCAACCUUGUGCAUUUCAUUUGGUGCUCUCAAUGUGGUCUCUACAUUGGCAAGACCAAGUGCUGUCUAGGUGACUAGAUAAUUACCCGCACUCUGUGCACCAUGGCCACCUUGACCUCCAGUUGCAUAUCACUUAAGUUCCAUUCUCACAACGACUGGUCUCUUGGAUUUCUAUACUGCCACGGUAAGGCCAAAUACAAACCAGAAGUACACACUCAAAUUCCAGUGAGACACAGGGAACGGCAGAGGCAGAUUUACAAAAUAAGACAGUAUUGGAAGAACUCAGCGUGUCAGGCAGCAUCAGUGGAGGGAAUUGUUCAGACGACUUUCUAGCUAGGGACUCUAGACUAAAGGAGGUGUCCCAACCUGAAACGUCAUCUGUCCAUUCCCUCCACAGAUGCUGCUUGGCCUGCUGAGUUCUUCCCACACUUUUUUUGUUCACGAUUCAGCACUGGAGUUUCCCGUAUCACACGCAAAUCAUAAAUUCUACAUAAAUGACCCAAAUUCUGCAAGAUAGUCCAAAGAGAAA